UGGCCUGUGAGGAGAACUAUUAUUAAAAAACACCAUCUUUCGGGACUGAAUGGCCUUUUUGGCCUUGAUGUUAAUUCUGCAAUUCUGAGGCCA